AAAAAUAGAAAGCUUUUGAGCUCUCUCUUUCUCAGGCCUCAAAUCUGGCCAUGGUCCGGCCUAGGGUUCCAGCGUGCCUCCGUCGUAGCUCCGCCACGGGCGGCGGCCAAAGGCACAAAAUCGUACCUUUUUGGUCCCUUUUUGAAGCCGGUUGCCUCUAGGACACAAAUUCAAGGCCGAAUCUCGUCAAAGAUGAGCCUAAACCUAAAAAACGAGGAGAAAACACUCGUCCUCUCCUCCUCCGACGCGACGCAGGUAAGUUUUUUCUUUUCUUGUUAUUUUAUUAACUAUUAUUUAGUAUAUGAAAAAAAAUAGAAAUAAAAAAAUGAAUAGAAAAGAAAGUGAAUCUAAAAAAAAAACUUCGAAAAAUCUCUUUCUUUUUUCUUUCUCCAAAUGUUUGUCCAAAAAAAGAACCCCGAUUUCAUACUUUCUAUGGCUUUUAUAGCCAUCUUUUACAAAGUUUUUUUAUCUAUUUUUUUGCUUGUCAUUUCUCUGCAGGUGUCAGUGCAAGUGGUCAACAUGACAGCGACGGUGGCAAACACGCGACGGUGGCAGAAGGGCAGUUGGCCAGAAGGCCCUAAGUGCAACGCACCUAAGGUUAGGGUUUCUCUUUUUUUGUUUGAAAAUGGGUUACCGGGCUAGGCUUAAAUUAGGCUUAUUGGGCUGGUGGGUUAGGUCUAGUUGGUUUGGGUUUUGGGCGUGUAAUGGGUUAUUGGGUAGGUUUUGGGGCCCGGCCUAAAAUUGGGCCUUGUACAGACCCAUUUAAUGUUGAUGCAUGUGCAUGAAUGUUUCAGCCGAAUUUAUUACUCAAGAUGAACAUACUUUAGCUUAAGACUUAAGUAUGUAUGUACGGUUCAUGUACGGUUCAUGGGUGAAGGAAUGUGAUGAUUCAAACAUGCUUUGAAUUGAAGAAAUGCAUGGAUGGCACUAAAAGGAGGUGCAUGGACGUCCAUUAAGGGUAUAUGACCAAAUCGGCUAAAUUCUUCAACUUUGAAGACACAUUUACUACAUGUGAAUUAUGAUCAUUCUAGAAACUACAUUUAUGGGCGAAUGUUGGCCAUUCAUCUACCUAGUUCUUUUUAUAAAUUUCGGUUGAUGUCAUUGUUGUAAGAAAGAG
rnacentral:lncRNA from 1 species